rnacentral:rRNA from 1 species
AACGAACGCUGGCGGCAGGCUUAACACAUGCAAGUCGAGCGCCCCGCAAGGGGAGCGGCAGACGGGUGAGUAACGCGUGGGAACGUACCCUUUGCUACGGAAUAGCUCCGGGAAACUGGAAUUAAUACCGUAUACGCCCUACGGGGGAAAGAUUUAUCGGAAUUGGAUGAGCCCGCGUUGGAUUAGCUAGUUGGUGGGGUAAUGGCCUACCAAGGCGACGAUCCAUAGCUGGUCUGAGAGGAUGAUCAGCCACACUGGGACUGAGACACGGCCCAGACUCCUACGGGAGGCAGCAGUGGGGAAUAUUGGACAAUGGGCGAAAGCCUGAUCCAGCCAUGCCGCGUGAGUGAUGAAGGCCUUAGGGUUGUAAAGCUCUUUCAGUGGGGACGAUAAUGACGGUACCCACAGAAGAAGCCCCGGCUAACUUCGUGCCAGCCGCCGCAGUAAAAC